UACGUAGGUGGCAAGCGUUGUUCGGAUUCAUUGGGCGUAAAGGGUGCGUAGGUGGUGCUGUAAGUCAGGGGUGAAAUCCUGGAGCUCAACUCCAGAACUGCCUUUGAUACUGGGAAGCUCGAGUCCGGAAGAGGUGAGUGGAACUCCGAGUGUAGAGGUGAAAUUCGUAGAUAUUCGGAAGAACACCAGUGGCGAAGGCGGCUCACUGGUCCGGUACUGACGCUGAGGUGCGAAAGCGUGGGGAGCAAACAGG
rnacentral:rRNA from 1 species